CUGCUCACCUAGUUUUGACCUGGAGCCAACUCACUGCUGUCAAAACCUUUCCUCAUUCGCUUGGUUUUGACCCAGUAUUAACUUGGCGUGCUGCCCGAAGCUCACCGUAGAAUUUAUCAGUUUUAGCCCAUCGCCGCAUGGGCUUAGUUCGAAAAAACUAUCUGGCAUCUCUUUCUUACUUGCGUCGUAAAUCACAAUGUCAUUUCUCUCUUUCUGAGAAGACCGGCACUGAUCCAGUGGAAUAAAGAAAUUCGCUAUUAAUGUGCAAACGGUGCUCUGCAAACAUAAACAAAAGAUAGAAGUCUAAAUUUCAGGCCAAGAGCUUUUGGUUGAUAAACUAAACAUAGCGAAUGAUAUGUAUUACAUAUGUUACAACUGUUUUUUGAGAAUCUGUCAAGAGUAAACUUAAAGAAAAUAUUAGGUGCAACCGCUUAUCUUCUAAAAGUAUGUUAAAAAGUCAAAGUUGCCUGAAAAGUAAUCGUCUUAUACAAAUAAUACGGCAAAGUGCUAAUCCAGGAAAAAACUGCGCCUGUUGUUAAACCCUGCUUUUCCUCAACUUAUUUUAUAAUCAAUUGCAGGGAAUCACAAACAGUGAAUACUUCUUCCAAUUUAAAUAUCUGUGCCGAGGGUACAUAUGUACAGUUCGAUAAAGGAUCGCAGGGUUAGAUGCGAAAUGAAAACACAGCAUCAAACAGGAAAUCCGGAUUAACAUUAUGCUCCUAUCGAACCAGUUCAACAAUCAGUGCAGUGUAAAAGUGCUACUCUGUCUAAAUAUAAUAAUGCAACAUUUGGCAUAUAAUCAAUCACUUGGAACUCGAAAAUAUUAACAGGAGCAACUACAUAAUAUGUCAACUUGUCUUCAUAUGAUCUCCAAACCGAUUAGUUUAGUAAUGCAUAUGAGAUAGAUUAAAUCGCUUCAGAGGUAGGGAUACCAUCCGUCCUGAUUUAGCAGGACAUGUCCUGAUUUUGAGACCCGUUUAGAGCGUCCUGAUUUAUUUUUCAUAUUUUUGCAUUUGUCCUGAUUUUUCUGAAUAAUGCCAGAUAUUCAGAAAUGGUGAAGAUUGUUCAGUACUCAUCUUGACCCCGGAUAUAAACGGACUCAUUUUGAACGAAUUUUUUCUUUGGUUGAACCUCUUUCCCACUCGAAAAAAGCUGUAUUGAUUUUUUAAAGAACUUUUUGACAGUUUUUUAUGGGAUUUUCUUUGGAACUCGAUAAAGCCGAAAAAAAAGGAAAAUUCAUUUUGUUCAUUGUUUGUCGAGCAGUUGGACAGGAUGAGGUACGGAGUACUAUGGGGCAACGUGUUCCAGAAAAAAAACGCCAGUUUUACCUAUGUCUUAUGUAUGUGUAUCUACUAACGCCUGAUGAAUCAAAGUUGCAGAAUUGAAUCGUCCGAGAAAUACGUUAAAUAAAUGAAUGAGUGUUUUGGCGUAUGUUGCAGUGUAAAUCUCA